AGUGUAGGCUUGCCUGCUAUCUCUUACCCAUGUCUUUUGAGUACUUACGUUUCCUCGGUGGGUUCGCCCGCCGAUUGGACAAUUUAAACCCUUUGCAGUUGCAAUCAGCGUCUGAAAAACAUAAUAGUUACAACUUUCAACAACGGAUCUCUUGGUUCUGGCAUCGAUGAAGAACGCAGCGAAAUGCGAUAAGUAGUGUGAAUUGCAGAAUUCAGUGAAUCAUCGAAUCUUUGAACGCACAUUGCGCCCCUUGGUAUUCCAUGGGGCAUGCCUGUUCGAGCGUCAUUUGUACCUUCAAGCUUUGCUUGGUGUUGGGUGUUUGUCUCGCCUCUGCGUGUAGACUCGCCUUAAAACAAUUGGCAGCCGGCGUAUUGAUUUCGGAGCGCAGUACAUCUCGCGCUUUGCACUCAUAACGACGACGUCCAAAAGUACAUUUUUACACUCUUGACCUCGGAUCAGGUAGGGAUACCCGCUGAACUUAAGCAUAUCAAGGCGGGGGAAAAAAAACCAUUACCUAGAGUUGUAGGCCUUGCCUGCUAUCUCUUACCCAUGUCUUUUGAGUACUUACGUUUCCUCGGUGGGUUCCCCCGCCGAUUGG
rnacentral:rRNA from 1 species